UACGUAGGGUGCAAGCGUUGUCCGGAAUUAUUGGGCGUAAAGCGCGUGUAGGCGGUCUUCUAAGUCUGAUGUGAAAGCCCUGGGCUCAACCCAGGAAGUGCAUUGGAUACUGGAAGACUUGAAUACGGGAGAGGGUAGUGGAAUUCCUAGUGUAGGAGUGAAAUCCGUAGAUAUUCGGAAGAACACCAGUGGCGAAGGCGACUCACUGGACACAUAUUGACGCUGAGGUGCGAAAGCGUGGGGAGCAAACAGG
rnacentral:rRNA from 1 species